CAAAACGACUCUCGGCAACGGAUAUCUCGGCUCUCGCAUCGAUGAAGAACGUAGCGAAAUGCGAUACUUGGUGUGAAUUGCAGAAUCCCGUGAACCAUCGAGUCUUUGAACGCAAGUUGCGCCCAAAGCCUUCUGGUUGAGGGCACGUCUGCUUGGG
rnacentral:rRNA from 1 species